AUUGAACGCUGGCGGCAUGCUUUACACAUGCAAGUCGAACGGUAACAGGGAGCUUGCUCCGCUGACGAGUGGCGAACGGGUGAGUAAUGCAUCGGAACAUGCCCAGUCAUGGGGGAUAACUACGCGAAAGCGUAGCUAAUACCGCAUACGCCCUGAGGGGGAAAGUGGGGGGUCUUGGGACCUCACGUGAUUGGAGUGGCCGAUGUCAGAUUAGCUAGUUGGUGAGGUAAAGGCUCACCAAGGCGACGAUCUGUAGCGGGUCUGAGAGGAUGAUCCGCCACACUGGGACUGAGACACGGCCCAGACUCCUACGGGAGGCAGCAGUGGGGAAUUUUGGACAAUGGGCGCAAGCCUGAUCCAGCCAUGCCGCGUGAGUGAAGAAGGCCUUCGGGUUGUAAAGCUCUUUCGCAAGGGAAGAAAACGGCAAGGUUAAUACCUUUGUCGGCUGACGGUACCUUGACAAGAAGCACCGGCUAACUACGUG
rnacentral:rRNA from 1 species